CUUGCAGUGAUGAGCCUCUAACAUAUAAGAAGAAACCAUAGUAUGUGGUUUCUUCUAUGACAUAUACUUGUUACGCUUGGCUUCUGAGCAUC